rnacentral:rRNA from 1 species
AAACAUCGCCUGUUGAACAUAUAACAGGUCCAUCCUGCCCAGUGAAAAGAUUUUUCAACGGCCGCGGUACCCUGACCGUGCAAAGGUAGCAUAAUCAUUUGCCUUUUAAUUGAAGGCUAGUAUGAAAGGAUAAACAAGAAUAAAGCUGUCUCAUUUGAAUUUAUCAUAAACUGAUAUUAAGGUGCAGAAGCCUUAAUUUAAAUAAAGGACAAGAAGACCCUAUAGAGCUUUAUUAAUCAAAACAUUAAAUUUUUACAUUAAUUUGGUUGGGGCAACCUAAAUACAUAUAAACCUAUUUUCAACAAACUAAAAACAUAAACCUAAAAUUAAAUCAGAAUAAGCUACCUUAGGGAUAACAGACUAAUCCUACUAGAGAGACCACAUUGACAGUAGGGGUUGGCACCUCGAUGUUGGCUUAGCGUAACUAUUAGGCGCAGCCGCCUAAUAUAGUUGGUUUGUUCAACCAUUAAACCGCUACGUGAU